UACCUGGUUGAUCCUGCCAGUAGUCAUAUGCUUGUCUCAAAGAUUAAGCCAUGCAAGUCUAAGUACGAGCUCUCGUACAGUGAAACUGCGAAUGGCUCAUUAAAUCAGUUAUGGUUCAUUUGAUCGUACAGUUUACUUGGAUAACUGUGGUAAUUCUAGAGCUAAUACAUGCGAGAAGCCCCCACCUCGCGGGAGGCGUGCCUUUAUCAGACCAAAAACCGG
rnacentral:ncRNA from 1 species